CUGGGAUAAAUGGCAUUUGAAAACACUAUUUUUGCCCUGUGACAAAACUGGAGAUUGUGCACAAAUAUGACUAUUGUCCAUAUUUUUUGAUUCCCUUCGUUUGUUGCACUGUUCCCCAUGUGUUUCAUCUGUUGGUCCGGCUGGAUAGACUACCAGACAAACUGUGGAGUUACUGGGUGGCCACCAUUUCAUGUAUCAGAGGCACAUGGUGAGAACAAUGGAUGAAGCACAUGGUGAGAACAAUGGAUGG
rnacentral:lncRNA from 1 species